UACGUAGGAUGCGAGCGUUGUCCGGAAUUAUUGGGCGUAAAGCGAACGUAGGCGGCCUGGUAAGUUUGGUCUUAAAGACCGGGGCUCAACCCCGGGAAUGGACCGAAUACUGUCAGGCUGGAGUACGCUAGAGGAUGGUGGAAUUCCAAGUGUAGCGGUGAAAUGCGUAGAUAUUUGGAGGAACACCGGUGGCGAAAACGACCAUCUGGGGCGUUACUGACGCUGAGGUUCGAAAGCUCGGGGAGCAAACAGG
rnacentral:rRNA from 1 species